rnacentral:misc_RNA from 1 species
AAGUCGUAACAAGGUUUCCGUAGGUGAACCUGCGGAAGGAUCAUUAACACGUAUCCAUGACAGUGUCGCUGAUUGUCUAAGGAUUUCGCUUUACGAUCACUGGAGGUCCGAUUACCGACCGGUGGAACAAGUCACAGGGCUUCGGCUUCUUGCAUUUUCUCGGACGAGUGCAGGGAUUGCUGUUUGGCUUUAUCCAAGACUUAGCCAUGAGGAGCGGCGAUGAAGGUUCACGUGGUUUUUAACGUUCACUGACUGCUUGGGGAAAAACAAGCCACCUUACCAAGCGCUCUUAGACCCAUAGUGCUCUGUCAAACACCCUCCCCAACCCCACUUUCUAUUGCCGCUCCGCGCUAACACGCCGGGCAUUUAAAAACGUUUAAACAACUGUUAACAAUGGAUAUCUUGGUUCUC